rnacentral:SRP_RNA from 10 species
GCCAGGCAUGGUACUGUGUGCCUGUAGUCCCAGCUACUCAGGAGGUGGAGGCAGGAGGAUCGCUUGAGCUCAGAAGUUUUAGGCUAUAGUGAGCCGUGACUGCACCACUGCACUCCAGCCUGGAUGACAGUGUUAGACCCUGUCUCAAAAAAAAAAAAAAAAAUGAGAGAGAGAAGGAAGGUCUCACUCUGUCUGGAAUGCAGUGGCAUGAUCACAGGUCACUGAAGCCUCAAACUUCUGGGCUCAAGCGAUUCCCCUGCCUCAU